AUAAGCUACCCCACCAAACACAAAGGAAAAUUUGAGGAAGACCAUUUUGUAUAAAGAAGAAAGGGUCUCACUCUGUCACCCAGGCUGGAGUGCAGUGGUCUUGACUCACAGCAACUUCCACCUCCCUACCUCAAGCAAUCUUUUCACCUCAGCCUACCAAGUGGCAGAUGACAUGAUCCUGCAUAUAGCAAAUCAUAAGGAAUUAACUAAAAAACUGUGAGAGUUGGUAAGUUCAGCAGGUUUGCAUGAUAAAACAGUGAAUAUACAAAAUUAAUUUAUAUUCCUAUACACUAUUGUGAAAAUAAAAUUGAUAAAAUGAUUAAAUUUAUAUCUUGUGAAAAAGAAUAAUACAUUCAAUAAUAAAUUUAACAAAAUUAAAGUUAGAUCAAAUGGAAUUUCUAUUUCUAAGGCCUUGAGGAAUCACCAUACUGUCUUCCACAAUGGUUGAACUAAUUCACACUCCCACCAACAGUGUAAAAGUGUUCCUUUUUCUCCACAUCCUCUCCAGCAUCUGUUGUCUCCAGAUUUUUUAAUGAUCGCCAUUCUAACUGGCGUGAGAUGGUAUCUCAAUGUAGUUUUGAUUUGCAUCUCUCUGAUGACCAGU
rnacentral:lncRNA from 1 species